UAGUGGACGAAACGGGUGAGUAACACGUAAACAACCUGCCUUCGAGGAGUGGGACUAACAGAACGGAAACGACUGCUAAUACCGAAUACGUUCCUUAGGUCGCAUGACUUUAGGAAGAAAGGGUGGCCUCUACUUGUAAGCUAUCGCUUUGCGAUGGGUCUGCGUCUGAUUAGCUAGUUGGUGGGGCAACGGCCUACCAAGGCGACGAUCAGUAGCCGGUCUGAGAGGAUGGACGGCCACAUUGGAACUGAGACACGGUCCAGACUCCUACGGGAGGCAGCAGUGGGGAAUCUUCCGCAAUGGGCGAAAGCCUGACGGAGCAACGCCGCGUGAGUGAAGAAGGUCUUCGGAUCGUAAAGCUCUGUUGUCGGGGACGAAUGUUGAGGCCUAGAACAUAGGUUUCAAAUGACGGUACCUGACGAGGAAGCCACGGCUAACUACGUG
rnacentral:rRNA from 1 species